ACUCUUCCUUUGCAGGAAAGAUGGGUGUGUGCACAGCCAAGGCAUGCCGUAAUUUUCCAGCGGAGAUUGAAAGCAGACGUCCUAAGAAGAAUCCCUACUUGUGGUGGCCAGAGAACUGUCCUGGUGGAGUUUUAUACAAUAUUCAGACCACGGAAAAUACUCAAGGCUGCAUUUCAUACAGGGGCAAAAGCAGGACAAGAUGAAAGAUACAGAAAAGCACAAUGGAAGGAAUUUUUCCCAGCCCGUCUGCAGAUGGAAGGAAUCGAAUCCGAGGCUUUCGGUUUGCAAGAUUGGCGAGGAAUCCUCCGGUUUGAAUCUCCCAGAUGGAGCAGCACCCAGACGGCACCUGAUGUUGGCUAAUAUCGUUAACCAGGUUAAACCGAGUUACGCAAUCAGGGCUGUGUUAGCCAUGGCAUGCAAAUCUGGGUUAAUGUUUAAGAGAGCCAAUUUGGUCUACUGGUUAUGGCACUAAGCUAGAAAUCAGGAAACUCUGAGUUCGAGUCCUGCCUUAGGCAUGAAAGCUUUGGAGCCAAUCACCAGAAGAAUUCAUCGGAGAAAGCAGUUGUGUUGGGAAGAGUUAGCGGUCAAAGGAAACCAGGCCUCCAAAGAACAAGGGUGGCUGGAGACCAUCAAAUCUGACCCCAGCCAGAGCCCUGAACAACUCAAAGAAGCAGAGCAAGACUGGAAGAGGUGGAGAGACCACCUGGCCCAGAGGAUGACCAAGAAUCGGACACGACUGAAUGGAGAACAUCGUCAUCAAUCACCUCAAGAGCAGCAAGUAUGAAGAAGGAGGAGGAGAAGGAGGAGUCACCCACCUCUGCUUGGUCUUCAGGCCCUUUGAAAGCCUGUCGAGGGGUGAACCAAAUCCAGUGAAGCUUCUCUUCUUCUUGGUCUCAAAGACGUCGUUCUCCAAGGACACCAGUUCG